rnacentral:rRNA from 1 species
GUAGGUGGGGUAACGGCUCACCUAGGCGACGAUCCCUAGCUGGUCUGAGAGGAUGACCAGCCACACUGGAACUGAGACACGGUCCAGACUCCUACGGGAGGCAGCAGUGGGGAAUAUUGCACAAUGGGCGCAAGCCUGAUGCAGCCAUGCCGCGUGUAUGAAGAAGGCCUUCGGGUUGUAAAGUACUUUCAGCGGGGAGGAAGGGAGUAAAGUUAAUACCUUUGCUCAUUGACGUUACCCGCAGAAGAAGCACCGGCUAACUCCGUGCCAGCAGCCGCGGUAAUACGGAGGGUGCAAGCGUUAAUCGGAAUUACUGGGCGUAAAGCGCACGCAGGCGGUUUGUUAAGUCAGAUGUGAAAUCCCCGGGCUCAACCUGGGAACUGCAUCUGAUACUGGCAAGCUUGAGUCUCGUAGAGGGGGGUAGAAUUCCAGGUGUAGCGGUGAAAUGCGUAGAGAUCUGGAGGAAUACCGGUGGCGAAGGCGGCCCCCUGACGAAGACUGACGCUCAG